UCAAGAAACACUUUCCAAACAGAAUUCCCUUCAAUGCUCAGGGCUUAGGUUUUAGUGACAACACCCAUGGAUGACAGUGUCUUUCCCAAAUCACGCGGGUGACUAUGAGACAGAGGGGUGGCCGCCCCAGGUGAGCCGCGCUGCCAUCACGUUGUUACCAGAUUCGAGACUUUCUCCUCAGACAUUUAAGAACACAGAAUACUUUGUAAAGUACUUGCUCCUUUAUUUGCCAUUUGUAGAAAGCCCAGUGAGCACUUGAGCAGGGUGAAGAAAGUGCAGACUGUUCUUCACUCGUAGGAAUACUCUGAUAACCCCAGCAAAGUGUGGAGUAAGCCGAGAAGGAAGCAAGCAUUGGAGUCCCGCCAGCCCCUGGCCCAGCUUCUUGAUGGCUGUACCAGAUGUCUGAAUCAACCUCGGCAGAAGGACCAGGUGUUCUUUUAAAUUUGAAAUUGCAAGCAGAAACAUAAGACCUUUUUUUGUCUUCUUUGAAGAAGCAUUUAGAGGAUAAAAAAAUGGCAGCCAUCAACCUGACUUGGAGUGAGACUUCUCAGCCAAAUCUCGGUGAGAAAACCAUUCCCCUUUCCCACUCUGAGUGAGUGGGGGGUCCCCAUGGUUGCAGACUUCUACCCUCUCUUCCUGACCACAGAGAAAUGUUCAGCCGGUCAAAGAGGACAAAUGCUCCAAGGAGACCACUCUGCCUCCCCACCUGGAGGACGGGCACACCUCCCAGGGGACCUGUUUCCUCUGGACUGUCUCAAGGGGCAUGACAGCAUCUUAAAAAAUGUCUGGACUUGAAAGGCAAAAAGUCAACCUUCAGAUUUGUGUUCAGGAAGAAAGAAGACAGGCUGGUCAAAAUUAUAUCCACUAGACAUGCAGUCAGUGAGCCGGCGUGCUUUUUAUAAGCCAACAAACAUAAAAAACAAGACGUGAUGCGGUCCAUUGGCUGGAUUAGAAACAAGGACACUGCAAAAGGAUUUACCAAAGGUGGCUUUGAAUGGGUCUACUCUCCUUCCAAUAGACUGUUCUGUCUGUUGAAUACAUUCUUCAGAGGAUCAGGUAGCUGCUUCUCCUCCAAGGUCGUGAUUCUGCAAGGAGUUUCCAAUUCCCAAGCUGCAGACCCCUGACCACGUGUGUAGGGCCUCCAAACUGCAUAAGCUUCAGCAUGUGUGGAGGUUUGGAGCCUAAAAGAAGUUGGGUAUGAUUAACAGCAUCCAAAUGGCCCCUGAAAGGUCCUAGUCGCCUGGUACUGAUGUUCCUAUGGAAUUUCUUUCUCUUGAUGUGGCUUGGACUUGGAGACCAACUUCUAACAAAUAAGCUUGAACUAAAGUGAUGGGAUGUCACUUUGGAAUUUACAUUAUAAAAAGAAAACAAGACUAUAUUUUUCUAUCGGGUGUCUCUCUGAAGGAAGCUGCUGACAUGUGAUCAGCCCUAUGGAGAGAUGCAAAAUAGCCAAGACCCGAUGUCUCUGGCUCAUAGACAGAUUGCACCUGAGGCCUGCCAACAGCAACCAUGUAAGUAUGCUUGGCAUGGAAUUCUUCCCCCUCUGUGAGCCUUGAGAUGCAGCCUGACAAACACCUUCAUCAUCCAACCUUGUGCAAGACCUGAGCCACAGGCAUCCAGCUAAACCACACCCAGAUUCCUGAGCCACGGAAAUUGUGAGAUUAUAAAUGCUGUUUGGAGUAGCUAGGUUGUUGAGCAAUUUGUUAUGUACUAAUAGAUGAUUAAUAUAUUGGGGAAAGAUAAAGAUAAUUUAAUCAACUUGUUAAAUCCUUCUUCUCAAAUAGCAUGGAAGGAAUAUUGUCUUGUUUAAUGAAAUACCAUUUCCUGAUACUGCUGAAAAUCCAUUUCCUUGUUUCUCUUUAUGUUCUGAUACAGGGCUCUGGGAUACUCAUGAAUAAGCAUAAUACUCACAAAGUUUGCCCUUAGUAGUUGCUGAACAACUCAUAAUAUUAAAGAAUUUGCAUUGUUCUUAAAUUUGUAUGUAUGUGGCUUUAGGUGAAACAUAUAUGAAAUGUGAUAAGCUUGUUUUCACUGUAAACUAGACAGAUAUUAAAUGUUAGAAUUAGGGAAUUUUA